rnacentral:rRNA from 1 species
GGUUAAGCGACUAAGCGUAUACGGUGGAUGCCCUGGCAGUCAGAGGCGAUGAAGGACGUGCUAAUCUGCGAUAAGCGUCGGUAAGGUGAUAUGAACCGUU